GGGGGCAAAAAAAGAAAAAAAGCAGGUUCUGAAGUAUACCCUUGACUGGAUCUACCCCGCAGAUGAUGCUGCCAAUUGUGAGCAGUUUCUCCAAGACAGAAUUAAAGUGAAUGGAAAAGCUGGGAAUCUUGGUGGAGGGGUAGUAACUAUUGAAAGGAGCAAGAACACAAGCACCGUAACUUCUGAGGUGCCUUUUUCCAAAGGGUAUUUGAAAUAGCUCAUCAAAAAAUAUCUGAAGAAUAAGCUAUGUGAUUGGUCGUGCGUAGCUGCUAAUAGCAAAGAGAAUUUCGGAUUGUGUUACUUCCAAAUUAACCAGGACAAAGAGAAGGAAGAUGAGGAU
rnacentral:lncRNA from 1 species